UCCAGGUUUGAUGACGCACACCUGUAGUCCCAGUGCUUGGGAGGCUGAGGUGAGGGGAUCGCUUAAGUUCAGGAGUUGGAGACCAGCCUGGGCAGCAUACUGAGAGCCCAUUUGGU
rnacentral:sRNA from 1 species